rnacentral:rRNA from 1 species
CCGUGGCGGGCGGGGCUACACAUGCAAGUCGAGCGGUAGGAAAGAAGCUUGCUUACCCUUAGCUAGCGGCGGACGGGUGAGUAAUGCCUAGGAAUCUGCCUGGUAGUGGGGGACAACGUCCCGAAACGGAUGCUAAUACCGCAUACGUCCUACGGGAGAAAGCAGGGGAUCUUCGGACCUUGCGCUAUUAGAUGAGCCUAAGUCGGAUUAGCUAGUUGGUGGGGUAAUGGCCUACCAAGGCGACCGAUCCGUAACUGGUCUGAGAGGAUGAUCAGUCCACACUGGAACUGAGAACACGGUCCAGACUCCUACGGGAGGCAGCAGUGGGGAAUAUUGGACAAUGGGGGAAAGCCUGAUCCAGCCAUGCCGCGUGUGUGAAGAAGGUCUUCUGGUUGUAAAGCACUUUAAGCUGAGGAGGAAGCGUACGUUAAUUAAUACUUUGCGAUUUUGAACGUUUACCUACGCAGAUUAACCACCGGCUUACUUUGUGCCCACCACCGCCGUAAUACCGAAGGGUCAGGAAACGUUUAUCGGAUUUACUUGGCGUUAAGCGCGUCGUAGGUGGUUUGUUAAGUCGAAGUGUGAGAAUUCCCCGGACUCUACCCUGGGGAACUGCAUUCAGAUACUGAGUGACUUAGAGUAUGGUAGAGGGGAUGGGGGAAUUUCCUGGUGUAGCGGUGAAAUGCGUAAAUGAUCUAGGGAGAACUACCAGAUGGCGAAGGGCACCACCCUGACUGAUUACCGACACUGAGGUGCGAAAGCGUGGGGAAGCAAACAGGAUAAAAUCCCUUGUUGUAAUCCACUGCCGUAACCAAGAUGUCAUAUAGCCGUUGGAAGCCUUGAGCGUCUUAAUGGCGCCAGCUAAAGCAUUAAAUUGACCCCCUGGGGGAAUAGGGUCGCAAAGUCUAAAAUCUAAAUGAAUUGACCGGGGGGCCCGCACAACGCGGUGGAGCAUUGUGUUUAAUUCGAAGCACACGCGAAGAACCUUUCACAGGCCUUAGACCUUCAAUAGAAACUUUUCCAGAGUAGGUAUGGGGCCUUCGGGACAUCUUUAAAACACGGUGCUGCAUGGGCUGUCUGUCAAGUCUCGUGUCGUGAGAUUUGGGUUAAAUUCCCGACACAGGGGCAACCCUUGUUCCCUUAGUUACCAGCCACGUUAUGGAUGGGCACUCUUAAGGAGACUGCCGGUGACAAACCGGAGGAAGGUGGGGAUGACGUCAAGUCAUCAUGGCCCUUACGGCCUAGGGCUACACACGUGCUACAAUGGUCGGUACAAAGGGUUGCCACGCAGCGAGGUGAAGCUAAUCCCAUAAAACCGAUCGUAGUCCGGAUUGCAGUCUGCAACUCGACUCCGUGAAGUCGGAAUCGCUAGUAAUCGCGAAUCAGAAUGUCGCGGUGAAUACGUUCCCGGGCCUUGUACACACCGCCCGUCACACCAUGGGAGUGUGGUUGCACCAGAAGUAGCGUAGUCUAACUGCUACAGAGAGGGGACGGGGU